GACCCCGGCUGCGCAGUGCGGCGCCGCGUGGCCCCUCCCGCCGCCCGCGCCGCCCCCGCGAGCCCCUGCUGGUGCCGCUCGCGCCGCCACCCUGACCGGAGCGUCCGGUGUCGGAUGAGGGUUCGCUCACUUCCGGCUCCUGUCCAAACGCGGCCGCCCUCCCCGGCGACAGCUUAAUGAAAUGAUGUGCUCAUAAAUUAUAACUUAACAUAUCCUGACUUGUUGUAUUAUUGGUAUUGUGAUCAGAACGGUAGCUUAGUAAUGAUGCGAGAGAUUUGCAACAUGCGUAAUGAACUUGAUACCAAAACUUCGCUAUGAACUUUGUUUUUGAGUUGAAUAUUUUAUUGAAUAAUACGUGAAGCAAA